rnacentral:rRNA from 1 species
UACGUAGGGGGCUAGCGUUGUCCGGAAUCAUUGGGCGUAAAGAGCGUGUAGGCGGCCCGAUAAGUCCGCUGUGAAAGUCCAGGGCUCAACCCUGGGAUGCCGGUGGAUACUGUCGGGCUCGAGUCCGGAAGAGGAGUGUGGAAUUCCUGGUGUAGCGGUGAAAUGCGCAGAUAUCAGGAGGAACACCAAUUGCGAAGGCAGCUCGCUGGGACGUAACUGACGCUGAGACGCGAAAGCGUGGGGAGCAAACAGG